rnacentral:lncRNA from 10 species
ACUUGGAAAGGUUGAUGAGUGUGGCUUAGAGUUGGUAAUGUGUUUGGCUCUUACGCAUGGAGCCAAAGCUAAAAGGCUAAGCUGAUGCCAUGUAUGAGGGCAGAAAAGCUUGAGAUUGCCAUGAACCACAUGGGCAAUGAGGAUUGUAACUGGAUCCAUCUGGAAGGAAUCCUACAUAGGAGAGCAGCUGAGUGAGGGGAUCCCAUCAGUAUCAGGGCAAGGGAACAAGGGUCAGGUGCUGAAGGUGAGGGUUGUUACAACAGUUCAGCUAGAGAAUGAGUCCCUCAUGAGAAAACUGGGCAAUGUGAAGUCUCACAGAGACCUCUGAAGAACCCACAAGUGCACUCAAAGGAAAAAAGUCAGCUUGGAGCCUCCAUACCCCAUCCUCAAUUAGGGCCUCAGCUCAGCUGGGAAAGAGGAGAAAAUCAAGGAAAUCGAAAGGAAACUACCACAUUCCUCUUUCCCACUGCAAGUUUCCAGCCCAGAGGAGGCCUGAACUGGUGCUGGAUGCUUCAUACCCUCGAUCACUGGACUCCAGGUUCUUCAGCUUUUGGACUCUUGGACCUACACCAGUGGUUUGCCAGGGGCUCUCGGGCCUUUGCCACAGACUGAAGGCUGCACUGUUAGCUUCCCUGCUUUUGAGAUUUGGGGACUCGGACUGGCUUCUCUGCUCCUCAGCUUGCAGACGGCCUAUUGUGGAACUUCACCUCGUGACUGUUUCUGGUGACUGGAAGUUCAAGAUCAGAGUGCCAGCAGAUGCAGGUUCUAGUGAGGAUCUUCUUCCUGGUUGCAGACACUGACUUCCUGUAUCAUCAAAUUAUGGAAAGAAAAAAGGUAGGUCAUUGGCCUUUCCUUAUAAGGUCACUAAUCCCCUUCAUGAGGGCUCCACCCUUGUGACCUAAUUACCUCCCAAAGUCCCACCUCCAAGUACCAUCACACUGGAGAUUAGAUUUCAACAUGUGAAUUUUGAGGGGAAAAAAUAUUCAAUCUAUAACAGGGAUCAAAAUUCUGUUCUGAACCUCUCUUCCAUGUGAGAUUGGAACUAGAUACAAGUGCUUGUUAUUUGUCAAAUAUUUGUGAUAUCUUCAACUCAUUUCAUAUUUAGAAGGACAAUUUUUCAACAGGUGGAAAUGAAAUAUUUAAAAGUGUGAUUUCAUAACAUCCUAAGUUAAACACAAAGAAAUGACUGAGAUUGCCAGAGAGCAGGAGCAAAUGUUGGUUGUGGGCACACAUACUCAUUUGUCCAUUUUACAGAAACAUGUAUUGUUAUCUUCGUGUGGAUGUCACAAAGUAGAAGUCUGAUAGAAUAUCUUUUGCCAAGUUGACUUUUGAUCCUGACUACUUUGGAGUCAGUUAUGUCCAGGUCCUUAUCAUCACAGCUGUUCAUAAUUACAGCAUCCCAAUUAGUCUCUCUUCUCCAGUCUAUCCCCAAACUAAUCCAUCCUAUAGAUUGCCAGAAGGCUAAUUGUCCUAGAACAGCGUCAUGUGCCAUAUUGCAUUGUUUUGGUCAAUGACGGACCUCAUAUGCAACAGUGGUUCCCUAAGAUUAUAAUGGAGCUGAACAAUUCCUAUUACCUAGUGACAUUGUAGCACAACACAUUACUCACAUGUUUGUGGUUAUGCUGGUAUAAACACGCCUACUGAGGCCCGGCGCGGUGGCUCACGCCUGUAAUCCCAGCACUUUGGGAGGCCAAGGCGGGCAGAUCGAGACCAUCCUGGCUAACACAGUGAAACCCCGUCUCCACUAAAAAUACAAAAAAUUAGCCAGGCGUGGUGGCAGGCGCCUGUGGUCCCAGCUACCCGGGAGGCUGAGGCAGGAGAAUGGCUUGAACCCGGGAG